CGUAGGGUGCGAGCGUUAAUCGGAAUUACUGGGCGUAAAGCGUGCGCAGGCGGUUUUGUAAGACAGAUGUGAAAUCCCCGGGCUCAACCUGGGACCUGCAUUUGUGACUGCAAGGCUAGAGUACGGUAGAGGGGGAUGGAAUUCCGCGUGUAGCAGUGAAAUGCGUAGAUAUGCGGAGGAACACCGAUGGCGAAGGCAAUCCCCUGGACCUGUACUGACGCUCAUGCACGAAAGCGUGGGGAGCAAACAGGAUUAGAUACCCUGGUAGUCCACGCCUAAACGAUGUCAACUGGUUGUUGGGUCUUUACUGACUCAGUAACGAAGCUAACGCGUGAAGUUGACCGCCUGGGGAGUACGGCCGCAAGGUUG
rnacentral:rRNA from 1 species